rnacentral:rRNA from 1 species
GUAAAAGUCGUAACAAGGUCUCCGUUGGUGAACCAGCGGAGGGAUCAUUGCUGGAACGCGCCUCGGCGCACCCAGAAACCCUUUGUGAACUUAUACCUACUGUUGCCUCGGCGCAGGCCGGCCUUUUUUGACAAAAGGCCCCCUGGAAACAGGGAGCAGCCCGCCGGCGGCCAACCAAACUCUUGUUUCUAUAGUGAAUCUCUGAGUAAAAACAUAAAUGAAUCAAAACUUUCAACAACGGAUCUCUUGGUUCUGGCAUCGAUGAAGAACGCAGCGAAAUGCGAUAAGUAAUGUGAAUUGCAGAAUUCAGUGAAUCAUCGAAUCUUUGAACGCACAUUGCGCCCUCUGGUAUUCCGGAGGGCAUGCCUGUUCGAGCGUCAUUUCAACCCUCAAGCCUGGCUUGGUGAUGGGGCACUGCCUGUAAGAGGGCAGGCCCUGAAAUCUAGUGGCGAGCUCGCCAGGACCCCGAGCGUAGUAGUUACAUCUCGCUCUGGAAGGCCCUGGCGGUGCCCUGCCGUUAAACCCCCAACUUCUGAAAAUUUGACCUCGGAUCAGGUAGGAAUACCCGCUGAACUUAA